CCUGCACAGACGAGAUUUGUAUUUAUUUUUCUCCUUUUUCUUUAGGGGAUGACACAAAGGAGGAGAAAAUAACUCCUAGAAUGUUGCAGCUGUGCAAGCAGCGCCCGCCCUGAUUUGUCUGAGCAAUGCCCCAGCGACGUGAGGGGAGGCUCCCAGCCACUGGCAAAUUGUAUUACAGGGGAAGAAAGCCUCCAGCCUCCCUUGUUUGAUGCCGGCUUGUUCAUAGAUUGGCAUUAGUCCUGCUGCCUGCUGCUUUGUUGGCUGGUGGGGAGGAGGCCCCGCAGCCUCCCCAGUGGGGUGGUGGAGUCCUCAUCGUGGCCCUGCCUCAUGGGUCAGGGGUCACCCGCAGCCUCCUGACAACCCCAGCUCCACAUCUGCUGUGUGGUGAUGUUAACGCAGCCCCUGCGUGCCCUACAUUUGUAAUUAGCCUCCCUGGGGGAUGGGGAGAGGGGCAGCUGAAAGGGGAAGAAGAUACAUUAUGGGCCAUGCAAGGGUGGGGCUUCUUUCCUUUGCUGACCACAUCAGCCUCCCCCAGGAUCCGGCACUUACAUCUUCAUUUUGAUUUUCACUUGCUAGCUGAGCUAUGAGAUCAUUUGUCUCCUGACACUUCUCAUUCUGUCUUUGUGCUACGACAGGGAAGAGAUGGAAUGCUUCAUCAGGUGAUUUGGGGGGCACUGGCAUUUCUGCAGAGGAAAGUGUGAACAAGAGAGCUGUUGCACAAGUCAGAAUAAGGGUGAUAGUUCGCAAGUCUGGAAGCAGGCUCUGUGCUACAUUCCCCUGUCCUGCAUCGCUUCUGCACAGUGCCCUCCAGCUCCUCUUCUCUGUGAGAUGCUCAGAGCUCUGCCACUCAUCUGUGCAGACUCUGAGCUGCCACGAGAACACAAAUCAUAGGAAUUACUGGUUGGAGAUGGCAAACUUGUCCUCUGUGAGAGUUAACAUAUCCUCUUGGAUUCAGGGGAUGCAAUUACAGAGCUACAUAUAACAAGGAGGGCUGGUGGUUCAUGUUGGAAAUGGGGCAAACCGUAAUAACAGGACUGAAUUCAAGAAAAUUGCUCUGUUUUUUGAUUUAUGAAAGUGAGAACAGCAUUCUUAGUCUGUUACUCACUUCAGGGAUCCU
rnacentral:lncRNA from 1 species